UCAGACGAUGCGUCAUGCAUAUCAAUAAGCGGAGGAAAAGAAACUAACAAGGAUUCCCCUAGUAACGGCGAGUGAAGCGGGAAGAGCUCAAAUUUGAAAUCUUAAAGGGUUUCCCUUUACGAAUUGUAGUUUAAAGAAGUGUUUUCUGUUGAGGUUUUGGUAAAAGUUCUUUGGAAUAGGACAUCAUAGAGGGUGAGAAUCCCGUAUUUGACCUUUACUUUCAACUUUGUGAUACACUUUCAAAGAGUCGGAUUGUUUGGGAAUGCAGUCCAAAAUGGGUGGUAAAUUUCAUCUAAAGCUAAAUAUUGGCGAGAGACCGAUAGCGAACAAGUACCGUGAGGGAAAGAUGAAAAGAACUUUGAAAAGAGAGUUAAACAGUACGUGAAAUUGUCAAAAGGGAAGCGUUUGACACCAGUGUUGUUUUUCUGAAAAUCAAUUAAAGAACUGUUUAUGCUAAGUUGUUUAGACUUUAUCAGCUAUCUGUUUAGUUUUGAGCUUUUCUUUAAUGCACUUUUCAGUUAACAAGUCAACAUCAAUUUCUUUUGCUGUAAAAAAGCUUGAGGAAGGUGGCUUGAGAUUCGUCUUAAGUGUUUAUAGCCUCUUGCCUAUGCAGUCGGAGAGAUUGAGGUCUGCAGCGUAGAUCCUUCGGGGCUAAAUGCAUUUGUGCUAAGUUAUAGCAUUUUAUAGACAACUUGUUGACUAUGAUUUGUCUUGUAGCUUACUCGCUUAUGUUAUUUUACCUACGCUUAGGAUGUUGAGCGCAUGUCUCUCUCU
rnacentral:rRNA from 1 species